CAAAAAAGCACCCAAAUCUCUUCCCUCUCCUCCUGAUUUGUUGUUCCCACUACCAUGAGGCCCUCCACUUUUUAAUCACACGCCUCUUCUAUUUCUCCGGUAACUCCCUUCGCUUCAACACCACUUCUAUUCCUCAUGCUUGCUUCUAUCGCCUUGAGAUUCUCAUAGCUUGUGAAGACCUAAAGGGUGGGAGCUUGAAGGCAUUCUUGUUGCAAAAUAACAUGGCUUCAGUGAAAUUGUAGAAUCGGAUUCUAAGGAAACUAUUCUCGCAUUGCACAACUCUAUUGAGAAUGGCAGCUGAGAGGCUUUUCCUAUACUAAGGAGAAUUUUGGAGGUUGGGGAUUCCUUCCAAGUGUGCCGCUGGUCUUAGGUUCCUCAAUCAGCCAACAAGGCAACGAACUCUUUGGCAUUUCAGACAAGUGCGAAGAUGAGUUGUUCUACUUGGGUCGACAGACCAUCAUCUUCGCUUGUGCAUGUUCUCAACAAGGAUCAAUGGCUUGCCUUGUCCUCUAGCAAACCCAAGGUUGUAUAGUAUUUGUGGGGUGACGUUUUGCUCAUGCUGGCUUUCUUAGUAGCAACCCCUUUAGACUUGUUUUCUUGGAGCCAUGCAUGUAAUUCUCCUUGUUAAUCCUCUGUUUGGACUUUCUUUGUAAGUUUUGGCUGUUUGCCCUUGGUGACGUAAAUUCCAGUCCACCGAAACAACAAAAAAG